UACGUAGGGGGCAAGCGUUGUCCGGAAUCAUUGGGCGUAAAGAGCGCGUAGGCGGCUCGGUAAGUCCGCUGUAAAAGUCAAAGGCUCAACCUUUGAAUGUCAGUGGAUACUGCCGGGCUAGAGUCCGGAAGAGGCGAGUGGAACUCCUGGUGUAGCGGUGAAAUGCGCAGAUAUCAGGAAGAACACCGACGGCGAAGGCGGCUCGCUGGGACGGUACUGACGCUGAGGCGCGAAAGCGUGGGGAGCGAACAGG
rnacentral:rRNA from 1 species